UUCGUUUGGCCAAGAGUCUUGCCAAGACUUUAAUCUAGGCCUCUUGUUCUACAUGAAUUCUUGGGAAUUACUCAUGUUCCAUAGGAAGAGUGCAUUCCCAGGUGAUGGUUUUUGGUUAUGGUAUGAUCCUUUCACACCAAGGAUUUCAUUGUUUAAAACGUGUUUCUUUAAAAGAAGCCUUGAUAACAAGAGUCGGGGAAGGAGGCAGCAGACUUUGAAGACUGUGGCCUUUGGUGUUCUGGAGUAAGGAGAGGGAAGGAGAAACAUGUUUUCCACAUCAUCGCAAGUGUAUGCCCUUUGCCCCUCUUCAGAAUCCUUAGAUUUGCCUCCCUCCCUCCACCCCGACAAUUUUGCAAUAAUGUGCCUUAUCAGUUGUGAGUUUACAGGCAAAGCAAUUUCCCAAAUAAGUGGAUAGAGGGAGCCGGCAUCAGAAGACAACACUGGGAGCUGGGGACUGACAGUACAGGAGACCACAGGGGAGCCAGAGGCAAGGUCUUGCUAUGUUGCCCAGACUGAUCUUGAACUCCUGACCCUAGAGCGAUCCUCCUGCCUCAGCCUCCCAAAGUGCUGGGAUUACAGACAUGCUUGCUUCCUCUUCACCUUCUGCCAUGAUUGUGUUUCCUGAGGUCUCCCAGCCAUGCUUCCUGUACAGCUUGUGGAACUCUUGCCCAGAGACAUCUGAGUCUUCACACGGCGUACGGCACACUCCUUGUCAGAGAGCCCAUCUGAGUGUGAGGAUAUGUCAAUGGGAAUCUCUGGCGUCUGGGACAGCAGGUCGUCUAGCUUCUCCGCCAAGCGGUCUUCAAGUUUAUCAGCUAACUCAUCAGGACUGUUUGAGUGGUCACUGGUAUUUCCCUCUUCUCCAUCAGACACAGAGAAAUUCUCAGAGCUAAAGGUUGAAUAUGACUGGCAGCUGCUGAUACAGCGAUGGGGCCUAGAACCAAGAAGAACCAGGAAAACUUAGAGGAACAACUACUUUCCUUUCCUUAUCUGUCACUCAUAGUAGUGGUAGAGAUAAUCUAGUUUUUUUCCUGCCAUCGAGGAGGCCUAAGAAAUCAAGAUAGGUAGAAACUAUUUAACUUUUAACAUGAAAGCAAUGGACUGAUCCCCCAUGAAAUUCCAUGUUGAGGCCCUAAUACCAGUGUGACUGUAUUCGGAGAUAGGGCUUUCAGGAGGUAAAUAAAGUUAAAUGGAGCAUAAGGGUGGGGUCCUAAUCAAAUAGGAUUGGUGGCCUUAUAAAAAGAGGAAAAGAUUCUCUCCAUUCCUGCCUCCUGCCCUUUUUCAACAUGCAUGUGCAGGGCAAAGACUAUGUGAGGAAACAGAGAAGGUGGCUGUCUGCAAGCCAGGAAGAGAGCCCUCACCAGAAACUGAAUCUGCUGACACCUUGAUCUUGGACUUCCCCAGCUCCAGAACUUGAGAAAUAAGUUCCUGUUUAAGCCAUCCAAUCUGUAGUAUUUUGUUAUGGCAGCCCAAGGUGACUAACACAAGAAGGAAAUUUUAAUUUCCCCUUUCAUUUGGUUUAUAUAUUUAUGUGACUAAACACUACACUCCAAGCUGAUGGCUAUGACUGGUCUUUGAAAAAAAUCAGCUUGUCUAAUCACGUUAUGUACAUAUAUGCAUAGUAUGGCAUGUCCAAAUUGAAAUUAUGCCUCUUAUUUAGAGAGUCAUAGAUUCUCACAGGUGAAAGAGACUUUGGAGAGUCUCUGGACUAACUCGUUUCCAAGAUGAGAAAACUGGAGCCAGAGAAGGGAAGUGACUUGUUUAAGGCCACACCAUGAGAAAAGGCAGAGCAGAGGCUUGGGCUGGGUCUACACACACUUUGAUCAGUGUCCUUCUCUAACCUCCAUCCCUCAACUCCCUGUCAAUCCACCCCAGCUUCAUUUCCCAGAGCCCAGUGUCCACUGGGCAUGGUGGCCCUGGAGGCCCAAGUGCUUUCACUACCUCUGUUGACCAGCCUCCAACAGAAAUGAGCUUGGAAGGAACAUUCACUCUGCAGCUGUGGGUACUGCCCAGCUAGUUAGUAGCUCAUUCCAGUUAACAACUGAGUUUGGCUCUGAUGAGCCAACGCUUCUGGGGAGAUAAUUUGCAAAAGUUCCUCAGUUCCUUCCCAUUGUUUAUAAGCAGCUUAGUAAAUAAGGAUGAUAUUAGCUUACACUGGCUUAAAAAACAUAAGAAAACAAAUAAUAAAGACUGCCUUUUUCUUAUCUUUCUGUAUUUCUUAGUAUAAAGAGUUGUUUUUUUUUUUGAGACAGAGUCUCACUCUGUCGCCCAGGCUGGAUUGCAGUGGUGCCAUCUCAGCUCAUUGCAACCUCUGCCUCCCGGGUUCAAGCAAUUCUCCUGCCUCAGCCUUCUGAGUAGCUGGGACUACAGGCAUGCACCACCAUGCCUGGCUAAUUUUUGUAUUUUUAGUAGAGACGGGGUUUCGCCUUGUUGGCCAUGCUGGUCUCGAACUCCUGAUUCAGCCUCCCAAAGUGCUGGGAUUAGAGGUGUGAGCCACAGCACCCAGCCUAGUACAAAGAGAUUUUAUGCCAUAUGACCUAGGCCUGGCUGAUGCCCAGGCCAGGUGAUGGGGUGAGUUGGUGGGAGGUCAGGGGGGCAGAUCAGGGAUAUAUAAGAAGAGGUCAUAAAGAGUCCAGGAAUAGCAGGGAAUGAGAACAGAUUUCAAUUUUGUGUAUAAUGGGGGAUCCAGAAUAUAAUUUAUCAAAGGGCCAGGAGUCCUUUGGUUUGUAGGGAAUUCCUGUUUUGGGGCAGGCACACAAAUCUUCCUGGGGAGACUUCUUAGAGCAUUACUCUUCAAGAACAGAAUGUCUAUUAGCAGAAAAAGACCUCUUGGUAGGAAAACUAUCUUCUCCUCUACCUUAGGGGCAGCUUUUAUUCUAGAAGUAAGGGGAGAUGGCCCUUAUUGACUCCUAGCAGGAAUAUUAUUAUCACUAUCUAAGCAAGAAGCUAUUUCUAAGGCUGGGUUGAAGGUGGACUCAGCUUAUCAUAUUUAACUUGAGGUAUAAAAUCUAAGGCAUGGGGAAUGCUAUGGACUGAAUUGCCUUCCUCCCAAAUCCAUCAGUUGAAGCUCUAAACUCCAAUAUAAUUGUAUCUAGAUAGACUCUCUAGAUAAGGUCUUUAGGAGGUAAUUAAUAUUAAAUGAGGUCAUAAGAGUGGGCCCCUAAUCCAAUAAGACUGUGACCUUUUAAAAGAAGGAAGAUCUCUCUCUGCCAUGUGAGGAAACAGCAAGAAAGUGGCUGUCUACAAGCCAGUACGAGAGCCUUCAUCAGGAACUGAGUCAGCUAGAACCUUGAUCUUGAACUUCCCCAGCUCCAGAAUUGUGAGAAAUCAAUUUCUGUUGUUUAAGCAUCCAGAAGCCUGAGCAGACUAACACAGGGAGGCUCACUAGAAACCAACACAAUUACCCAUAAAACAGCAUGGCCAUCUGUCACAAACUGGCCACUGUAUUCUCAGUUGUAACCUUGAAUCUGUAUUCAUGCUCCUCAUCAUGAAGUUGCUGUAAAAUGAAUGCGGAUGAACUAGGAUCUGCUGUGCGUGAACAACUGCCAAAAUGUGCCAACAGGAAAACAUGAACACAGUGAGUUCAAAGUUCUCUAUAAGGUGGCUGCCAGGGAAUCACCUGUGGUUGAAGAGUAGGUGUGGCAAACUUAGGAUUUUUUUCCCCAUUCCACUAAAAGCAAUCAUGUGCAUUUGUUGGUUUUACCUCUGUCUUCGUGGAAAUUCAACUUCACUAUCUACUUCCCCUUCUUCCUCUUCUGAGGAGUCAUCUCCACUCUGAGGAGAACAAGGAGAAAAGAGUUUUAUUUAUUUUAGUGUCACUCUCUCUCACCCCAUCCCCACUACCGGUAAAAAAUGUAAUUAUCAUCAAAAGGCAUUCAUUUAGUAGUAGCUUGCUGAAUGUCAUCUUUAAACAUACAUGUCCUCAUUAUUCAUUUAGCAACUUUUCCAGGGUACCUAUGAUGGCAGGCCUGCAUGAGAUGCUGGAAGACGUGUAAAACUCAGUGAAAUUUUCUUUGUCCUCAGAGAGAUGAUGGCUCCAUUAAAGUGUCCAGAGAGAACUCAUCUCAAACCAAGGGCAUAGGAGCAGCCACACUUAAGAUCAACUGUCCUUAAUGACAGCAUCAUGAUACACUGGAUUACCCAGUCGCUUGUAAGGAAGGACAGAGAUGAAGUUAUCCUGACUGCUGAGAUGAGCAGUUUACCCUAGGAGGACCUGUGGGACUAUGUUUUGGUAAAGAAAAGUUGAGCUCUCUGUGGGAGUGAGGUUCCAAUGAGGCCAAAUGUACAAUGUGUGUGUUCUAUGGCCUAAAGAUCUGUAGAUGGUGUCACAAUGGCAUGAGAAAGUUUCAAAGAUACAUGUUAUUUGGGGGAGCCUGGGGGAUGGGGUGACUGCUAAAGGGUGUGGGGUUUGUUUCUGGCAUGAUAAAAGUGUUGUAAAUUUGGUUGUGGUGAUAGUUACACAGCUCUGUGGAUAAAAAACAUUGAACUAUACAUUUUAAAUGGGGGGACUGUAUGGUAUGCAAAUUAUAUCUUAAUAAAGAAGUUACCAAAAAAUACAAGUUACUGGCCAUCGGAGCUGGAGGAGCAGAGAAUGGAUUGGCCCAAAUCAACUGCACCAGCUGAAACACAAUUUUAUUUAUUUAUUUAUUUAUUGAGACAGAGUCUUGCUCUGUUGCCCAGGCUGGAGUGCAGUGGUGCGAUCUUGGCUCACUGCAACCUCUGGCUCCUGGGUUCAAGUGAUUUCCUGCCUCAGCCUCCCGAGUACCUGGGAUUACAGGAGUGCACCACCAUGCCCAGCUAAUUUUUGUAUUUUUGGUAGAGAUGGGGUUUCACCAUAUGGCCAGGCUGGUCUCGAACUCCUGACCUCAGGUGAUCCACCCGCCUUGGCCUCCCAAAGUGCUGGGAUUACAGGUGUGAGCCACCACGGCCAGCCCCUGAAACACAAUUUAAUCUCUGGGACUGCUUAGUCAGUACAGGAGCAGCAAUGUAGGUGGAGGGGGAAAUGCAGUUCCCAGACGACAGCCCUCAGCUUCAGCUUCUUUUCUACUCAAUGCCUAGUUGACCAAACAUACUCAUUACAUUUUAUACCCUUUCAUUCCUUCAGCUAAAUUCCUGGUGAACAAUGAUGAUGAGAUGAAACCAUACUUAGAAUUGGGUGGGUGUCUACCAUGUUGUAAACAUUUUUCAUACAUAAUCUUAUUUUUUGACUCAUAGCAAGAAGAGCUAAUACUUUUGGAAAAGUGCUACGUUCCAAGCCCUGUUCCAAAUGCUUUAUAUGUAUUUAUGCCUGUAGUCUUUAUAUCAACUGAUGAGGCAGAGUCCAAUAUUAGGCCCAUUUUAUGGACAAGGAAACUGAGGUCCAUAGAGGUACUAAAUGGAAGAGCAUGGCUUUUUUUUUUUUUUUUUUUUUUGAGAUGAGGUCUCACACUGUCGCCCAGGCUGGAGUGCAGUGGCUGGAUCUCGGCUCACUGCAGCCUCCCGUCCCAGGUUCAAGCAAUUCUCUGCCUCUGCCUCUGCCUCCUGAGUAGCUGGGAUUACAGGUGCCUGCCACCACGCCUGGCUAAUUUUUGUAUUUUUGGUAGAGAUGGGGUUUCACCAUGUUGGCCAGGCUGGUCUUGAACUCCUGACUUCAUGAUCCAUCUGCCUCGGCCUCCCAAAGUGCUGGGAUUACAGGCAUGAGCCACUGCACCUGGCCAAGAGCCUGGCUUUAAAUUAAGAUCUGUCUGACUCCUAGGCUCGUGCUCUUAACUGCUAUGGUAGUCUGCUUCCCAGCUGACAAAUCCCAGGCAGCCAGUGGAUAAGGAGGAGAGAAACAGGUUUCAAUGACUAAGAACUACCUGGGUCAUGAUGCCUGUCAAUUAAGGCAAUGUUUUCCAAAGUAAAUUGUGAAGAAAGCUAGUGCCACAGGGGAUUAAUAGAUGUUAAUUUUAAAAGGCUGUAUGUUCAAAUAGGUGAGGGAAAUGCACGGUUAAACAAGUUUACUGCAAGAUUUCUCAAAGCAGAGGACUGUUUAUGUGCACUAGGAAUCUGUAUGAGGGGAUGAGAGAAUACUGUGCUUCUUAAACUUACCCUGUAACAGGCUCCUUACUUCCCCUAACAUCCCUCAGGACUAGAGCCAUAGCAUAGUAGUUUCCAAACUAUUUUGAUUACAUAUCCCCACUAUAUAGUUUUUUUUUUUUUUGAGACAGAGUCUCGCUCUGCCACCCAGGCUGGAGUGCAGUGGCGCGAUCUCGGCUAAAUGCAACCUCCACCUCCCAGGUUCAAGCAAUUCUCGUGCCUCAGUCUCCCGAGUAGCUUGGAUUACAGGCGUGUGCUACCACACCUGGCUAAUUUUUGUAUUUUUUUGGUAGAGAUGGGGUUUCACCAUGUUGGCCAGGAUGGUUUCGAACCCUUGACCUCAAGUGAUCCUCCUGCCUUGGCCUCCCAAAGUGCUGGGAUUAUAGGCGUGAGCCACUGUGUCCAGCCCAUAUCCCCAAUAUAUAGUUAUCUAUAAAUAAAUUGUUAUACAUACACUUGACUCAGCCCUCUGGUUCAGUAGUUCCUAAAGUGUAUUCCAUGGUUUAUCACUUAAGCAGUGUGGAAAAAACGAAUUUAAAGUAAAAUAAAUUUCUAUUUA